UACGUAGGGGGCAAGCGUUAUCCGGAUUUACUGGGUGUAAAGGGAGCGUAGACGGUAUGGCAAGUCUGAAGUGAAAGCCCAGGGCUUAACCCUGGGACUGCUUUGGGAACUGUUAGACUAGAGUGCUGGAGAGGUAAGUGGAAUUCCUAGUGUAGCGGUGAAAUGCGUAGAUAUUAGGAGGAACACCAGUGGCGAAGGCGGCUUACUGGACAGUAACUGACGUUGAGGCUCGAAAGCGUGGGGAGCAAACAGG
rnacentral:rRNA from 1 species